UUAAGCGACUAAGCGUACACGGUGGAUGCCCUGGCAGUCAGAGGCGAUGAAGGACGUGCUAAUCUGCGAAAAGCGUCGGUAAGGUGAUAUGAACCGUUAUAACCGGCGAUGUCCGAAUGGGGAAACCCAGUGCAAUUCGUUGCACUAUCGUUAACUGAAUACAUAGGUUAACGAGGCGAACCGGGGGAACUGAAACAUCUAAGUACCCCGAGGAAAAGAAAUCAACCGAGAUUCCCCCAGUAGCGGCGAGCGAACGGGGAGCAGCCCAGAGUCUGAAUCAGCUUGUGUGUUAGUGGAACGGUCUGGAAAGUCCGACGGUACAGGGUGAUAGUCCCGUACACCAAAAUGCACAGGCUGUGAACUCGAAGAGUAGGGCGGGACACGUGGUAUCCUGUCUGAAUAUGGGGGGACCAUCCUCCAAGGCUAAAUACUCCUGACUGACCGAUAGUGAACCAGUACCGUGAGGGAAAGGCGAAAAGAACCCCGGCGAGGGGAGUGAAAAAGAACCUGAAACCGUGUACGUACAAGCAGUGGGAGCACCUUCGGGUGUGACUGCGUACCUUUUGUAUAAUGGGUCAGCGACUUAUAUUCUGUAGCAAGGUUAACCGUAUAGGGGAGCCGCAGGGAAACCGAGUCUUAACUGGGCGUUAAGUUGCAGGGUAUAGACCCGAAACCCGGUGAUCUAGCCAUGGGCAGGUUGAAGGUUGGGUAACACUAACUGGAGGACCGAACCGACUAAUGUUGAAAAAUUAGCGGAUGACUUGUGGCUGGGGGUGAAAGGCCAAUCAAACCGGGAGAUAGCUGGUUCUCCCCGAAAGCUAUUUAGGUAGCGCCUCGUGAACUCAUCUUCGGGGGUAGAGCACUGUUUCGGCUAGGGGGUCAUCCCGACUUACCAACCCGAUGCAAACUACGAAUACCGAAGAAUGUUAUCACGGGAGACACACGGCGGGUGCUAACGUCCGUCGUGAAGAGGGAAACAACCCAGACCGCCAGCUAAGGUCCCAAAGUCAUGGUUAAGUGGGAAACGAUGUGGGAAGGCACAGACAGCCAGGAUGUUGGCUUAGAAGCAGCCAUCAUUUAAAGAAAGCGUAAUAGCUCACUGGUCGAGUCGGCCUGCGCGGAAGAUGUAACGGGGCUAAACCAUGCACCGAAGCUGCGGCAGCGACACUAUGUGUUGUUGGGUAGGGGAGCGUUCUGUAAGCCUGCGAAGGUGUGCUGUGAGGCAUGCUGGAGGUAUCAGAAGUGCGAAUGCUGACAUAAGUAACGAUAAAGCGGGUGAAAAGCCCGCUCGCCGGAAGACCAAGGGUUCCUGUCCAACGUUAAUCGGGGCAGGGUGAGUCGACCCCUAAGGCGAGGCCGAAAGGCGUAGUCGAUGGGAAACAGGUUAAUAUUCCUGUACUUGGUGUUACUGCGAAGGGGGGACGGAGAAGGCUAUGUUAGCCGGGCGACGGUUGUCCCGGUUUAAGCAUGUAGGCUGNUCAGCGGGGAGGAAGGCGUUAAGGUUAAUAACCUUGGCGAUUGACGUUACCCGCAGAAGAAGCACCGGCUAACUCCGUGCCAGCAGCCGCGGUAAUACGGAGGGUGCAAGCGUUAAUCGGAAUUACUGGGCGUAAAGCGCACGCAGGCGGUCUGUCAAGUCGGAUGUGAAAUCCCCGGGCUCAACCUGGGAACUGCAUUCGAAACUGGCAGGCUAGAGUCUUGUAGAGGGGGGUAGAAUUCCAGGUGUAGCGGUGAAAUGCGUAGAGAUCUGGAGGAAUACCGGUGGCGAAGGCGGCCCCCUGGACAAAGACUGACGCUCAGGUGCGAAAGCGUGGGGAGCAAACAGGAUUAGAUACCCUGGUAGUCCACGCCGUAAACGAUGUCGAUUUGGAGGUUGUGCCCUUGAGGCGUGGCUUCCGGAGCUAACGCGUUAAAUCGACCGCCUGGGGAGUACGGCCGCAAGGUUAAAACUCAAAUGAAUUGACGGGGGCCCGCACAAGCGGUGGAGCAUGUGGUUUAAUUCGAUGCAACGCGAAGAACCUUACCUGGUCUUGACAUCCACAGAACUUAGCAGAGAUGCUUUGGUGCCUUCGGGAACUGUGAGACAGGUGCUGCAUGGCUGUCGUCAGCUCGUGUUGUGAAAUGUUGGGUUAAGUCCCGCAACGAGCGCAACCCUUAUCCUU
rnacentral:rRNA from 1 species